AUAACAGUUGUUUUACAUUUGCAAAAGGACGCUCGAGUGGGUUUUGGGUUUACUCAAUUUCAUUUCCAAACUCGUGUUAACUGGAAAAAUCUGUGGAUGUGGGAGUGACUCCAAGAAAUGAAAAGGCAAAGGCUUAGACGGUGAUGGAAAGACAAGGCUGGUUUUCCUCAUCCUCCCCUAUCAGGAUGCACGAGGAUCUGAGUCUUCAUACCAACCUCAAACUUUAGGAAGUUACAACUUACAAGCAAAGGAAAGAAACCUGGUUGGCUGGUUCAGCAGGAUCCAGGGGUCUGAACUUCAGAUCAAUAGGAUAGAUAUGGACGGUUCUAAAAUUUAUAUUCUAAAUAAGAUUUGAAAGAUGUAUUAUUGCAUCAUUAUUGUAUAUUAAGAUAUGUUAAAGCAUACUAAAUGAUUUUUUUUUAGUUUAUACAUUUCCUUAUAAAUCUUUUAUCUUAAUUUA